rnacentral:piRNA from 1 species
UAGGAUGUGUCACAUUCCAAAAGAAUGUAGUU